UAGGUGGCGGUAAUGCAACAUAUUGGAUGCCAACCGCCGUUAAACCUCAUCGAAGAAAACUGGGAUAAUUAUGUGUCACGUGACGUGCGGAGUGACGACAUAUACUUUUCAUUUGGCCAUUUCCUGGGAGAAGACUUUAACGGCAAAGGAGUACUCUUUCCCAUUUCCCCGGCAGAUGGCGAUGUUGAAUCGUUUGUCUUUACCGUCCAAACGCAUUGUUUGCAGCUGCCAAGAAACUCUUACAAACCUUUCCACGGGGGGUAUCUAAAACAUUCUCCAUUCAUGCUGCAAAUGUGUUGAUUUCCUCCUUAGCUGGAUUUAAUGGCAAGAAAUCGUGAAAAAUAUUGGGCAAGAUAUGUGUACUUUCUUCAUGAAACCAUUUUCCACCGCCAUGCUUAUGUGGUUUUAAUGCUUAUGAAGGCUAGUCCCGGAUGAUGCAUAUAGGUUGCAGCAGUAUAUUAGUACCAAACGACGUUCCAUACAGUCUUCUGUUUACACCUGGCUGUCAGGGUGAACCGGUCCGAAAUUACAGCACUUUUUGUACAUAGACCACCCAUUUUAGGGGACCAAAAGUAUUGGGACAAAUUCACGUGUGUGUAUUAAAGUAGUGAAAUGUUUGGUCGCAUAUUCAUAGCACGCAAUGACUACAUCAAGCUUGCGUUUCUACACAUUUGUUGAAAUCGUUUGCUGUUUGUGUUUCAGAUCAUUUUGUGCCCAAUAUAAAUUGAAUGGUAAAUCAUGUAUUGUGUCAUUUGAGUCACUUUUAUUGUAAAUUAUAUGUUUCUAAACAAUUAUACAAUAAUGUGGAUGUUUACCAUGAUUACGGAUAAUCCAGAAUGAAUCGUGGAUAAUGAGUGAGAAGGCUACAAAUGCACAAAUAUACCCCCAAGACAUACUAACCUCUCACCAUUGCAACAGGGGAGGUUAGCAUUUGUGCGUCUAACUUUGUCAUUGAUCAUUAUCUAAUCAUGGUAGCAUCCACAUUCAUGUAGUGUUUAGAAACAUUAAUUUCUUAUUUAAAAAAAAUACUUAUCUUUUUACUACACGUAAGUGAUUUUUCACAAUACCAGAUCUAUUAUGCGUGGGAAUACUUUGGAAUAGAUUUUCCAAAUUAAUAUGACUUGGAGCUGAUUGGCUGGUGUCCAGAAAACUUUGGGGAGCAAAUAAAAUCACCAGUUGGGGAACCCUGGGGUAGAGAGAGAUCAGUAGACACUGUAACCAAGAGAGGUGGUUGUUAAAGGGGAAGUGGUAGUGAGCAAAAAGUUCAGAAUCAGAUUUAUGCCUGUGAGUGCAUAUCAAUUCUGUAAAUCAGGCAAGAUCUUGGUGCACUGUGUGACGGGUCAGGGGCGCUGGUCCUGGGGUAUAUGAUGAUCGAGUGAGGGAACUGGUCGACACUACGUCCUGCCUAAUCGAGGCUUCCUCAAACGACUGACAGACCUGGAUAUACAACUACAGGAGGACAUACUAAGACACUGACACACACACAUUCAUCAGUAAAGAAGCAAACAGGAGAUGAACUAUAACAACAUGAAUGGAAGAAACUAUAAUAAUCUGUCUGAAUGCUCACUGCUUGUAUGUUCAACUCCAUUGUACUUUGUUAAAUGUGUAUAUUGCCAUAAUGUUAAAUUAUUACACAGUAAAUACACUAUUAAAAAAUCAAACAUAUUGUCAUUUCAUUCAUAUUUUGAAAGCAAUAUGGCGAUGGCGCCUAUCAAUAAAUGUGUUCUCAAUUUACCUGGGGAAAUUAAGACAAAAAUAAAUGUGUUAAUUAAAUAUCCUUGGUAAUUUGGGUUAGCAGCUCAUAUCGAGGAUACAUAGGAUCCUUUCCUGAAUCAUAACAGUGAUUU